UGAUUUAUAAUAAAAGGCCCGCAGUAACCUGACUGUGCUAAGGUAGCAUAAUCAUUUGUUUAAUAAAUUUAAACUAGAAUGAAAGGAAAAAAGUAUAUUAACUGUUAAUUACAAAUCUUUUGAAAUCCUUUUUAAAGUGCAAAAACUUUAAUUAGUGACAUAAACGAGAAGACCCUAAAAAUUUUAAUCUAUUUUAUUGGGACAAUACUAUUACAUAAUUAUUAUAUGUUAAACAUUAUCUAUGCUAAUUAACUAAAUAAAAUUACUUUAGGGAUAACAGCAUAAUAACUAUAAAGAGACCUAAUCUAAAUAGUUGCUUGUGACCUCGAUGUUGAAUCAUUUUAACAAAACUUGCAGAAGAGUUUUAUCUAUCGUCUGUUCGACGAUUCUACAUUACGUGA
rnacentral:rRNA from 1 species